CCAAAAUGCAAAUUUGGAGACGCACCCCAAUAGGUGCCGGGGCUUCUCCCGU
rnacentral:tRNA from 1 species